GAACGACGGUAUUCGGAGGCUGAGAGUGUGGUAUUCGUCAUCUUCUGCUUAUGGGAAAACCUGGGUGCCUCGGCGGCGGCGGCGGCGACAUCCGAGAACCGGGGUCUGGCCCCAAUGCAUGGGUAGAAGAGGACGAUGAAAAGCAGGAAGAACCAGAGGGUGAAGCCGUGGGUCGAGGCCAUCAGAGGGUACAGGAUCUUAUUGGCUCGGUG
rnacentral:lncRNA from 1 species